rnacentral:rRNA from 1 species
AAGUCAGGUAGUAAGGGCGCAGGGCGGAUGCCUUGGCUCUGGGAAGCGAUGAAGGACGUGGCUAGCUGCGAUAAGCCUCGGGGAAGAGCAAACAUCUUUUGAUCCGGGGAUUUCCGAAUGGGGGAACCCGCAUGGCUGUUGAGGCCAUGCACUGUUGAGUGAAUACAUAGCUCAUCAGGGCGAACUCGGGGAACUGAAACAUCUCAGUACCCGAAGGAAUAGAAAUCAACCGAGAUUCUGUUAGUAGCGGCGAGCGAACGCGGAAGAGCCCAAACCAUCAGGUGCGCCUGAUGGGGUUGUAGGGCCGUCAAUAAAGGAUAAUUGGAGAAUUAGCUGAAGUGUCUGGGAAGGCACGGCACAGAGGGUUAGACCCCCGUAAGCGAAAGUUUGAAGAUGUCCGAGACGGUACCUGAGUAGGACGGGACACGAGAAAUCCCGUUUGAAUCUGGGGGGACCACCCUCCAAGGCUAAAUAUUACCCAGAGACCGAUAGUGAACCAGUACCGUGAGGGAAAGGUGAAAAGCACCUCGAAUAGAGGAGUGAAAUAGAUCCUGAAACCCUGUGUCUACAAGCAGUGGAAGCACUACUGAUCUUCGGAUCAUGUGCGACCGCGUGCCUUUUGCAUAAUGAGCCAACGAGUUGUCUGUCGGUGGCAGGUUAAGUUUUUAACGAAGCCACAGCGAAAGCGAGUCCGAAAUGGGCGUUAGUCAUCGGCAACAGACCCGAAACCGAGUGAUCUACCCCUGUCCAGGUUGAAGCCUGGGUAAGACCAGGUGGAGGACCGAACCGUUGAGCCUUAAAACGUUCUCGGAUGAGGUGGGGGUAGGAGUGAAAGGCUAAUCAAACUCGGAGAUAGCUGGUUCUCCCCGAAAUAUAUUGAGGUAUAGCCUCGUGAUAGACCGCCGGAGGUAGAGCACUGGAUGGACUAGGGCCCUCACCAGGGUACCAAACCCAACCAAACUGCAAAUACCGGCGAGUUGUUUCACGGGAGUCAGACAGCGGGAGCUAACUUUCGUUGUCGAGAGGGAAACAACCCAGACCAUCAGCUAAGGCCCCCAAGUCAUGACUAAGUGGGAAAGGAAGUGGGAGCGCCCAGACAACCAGGAGGUUGGCUUAGAAGCAGCCACCCUUUAAAGAAAGCGUAACAGCUCACUGGUCAAGCGAGCCUGCACCGAAAAUAUAACGGGGCUCAAGUCAUGCGCCGAAGCUAUGGGAUUUAUAUUUAUAUAAAUCGGUAGGGGAGCGUUCCCUGUGCGGCGAAGCUGAAUCGAGAGGGUCAGUGGAGCGCAGGGAAGUGAGGAUGUUGGCAUAAGUAACGAAAAUGCGAGCGAGAAACUCGCACGCCGAAAGCCCAAGGUUUCCCGGGCCAUGUUAUUCAGCCCGGGGUUAGUCGGCACCUAAGACGAGGCCGAAAGGCGUAGUCGAUGGAAAACCGGUUCAUAUUCCGGUACUUGCAUGUGCGCGUGAUGGAGGGACGCAGGAGGAUAGCCCGGCCAAGUGAUGGAUAUCUUGGUUCAAGGCCGUAGGCGGAAGUCUCAGGUAAAUCCGGGACUUCUAUAACGCCGAGAGUCGAUGACGAGAGGCUUUGCUUCGCAAAGCGGUCGAUUCCACACUGCCAAGAAAAGCUUCUAAGCAUAGCACAGGCAAACCGUACCCCAAACCGACACAGGUGGGCGGGUAGAGAAUACCAAGGCGCUUGAGGGAAAUCAUGUUAAGGAACUCUGCAAAUUGACUCCGUAACUUCGGAAGAAGGAGUGCCUGCGGUGGUGAAGGGACUUGCUCCCUGAGCUGCUGCGGGCCGCAGUGACCAGGCCCAGCCGACUGUUUAGCAAAAACACAGCACUCUGCUAAAUCGCAAGAUGAUGUAUAGGGUGUGACGCCUGCCCGGUGCCGGAAGGUUAAUGGGAGGGGUUAGUUCUUCGGAACGAAGCUCCGAACUGAAGCCCCGGUAAACGGCGGCCGUAACUAUAACGGUCCUAAGGUAGCGAAAUUCCUUGUCGGGUAAGUUCCGACCUGCACGAAUGGCGUAACGAUCUGGGCGCUGUCUCAAUGUGAUUCUCAGUGAAAUUGAAAUGGCGGUGAAGAUACCGUCAACCCGCGGCAAGACGGAAAGACCCCGUGCACCUUUACUGCAGCUUGGCAGUGAACUUGGGAAAGAUUUGUGUAGGAUAGGUGGGAGGCUAUGAAGGGGGGGCGCUAGUCCCUCUGGAGCCAUCCUUGAAAUACCACCCUGAUUUUUUCUGUGUUCUAACUUAGUCCCGUUAU